rnacentral:rRNA from 1 species
UACGUAGGCAGCAAGCGUUGUUCGGAGUUACUGGGCGUAAAGGGUGCGUAGGCGGCUUUUUAAGUUUGGUGUGAAAUCUCCCGGCUCAACUGGGAGGGUGCGCCGAAUACUGAGAGGCUAGAGUGCGGGAGAGGAAAGUGGAAUUCCUGGUGUAGCGGUGAAAUGCGUAGAUAUCGGGAAGAACACCCGUGGCGAAGGCGGCACUCUGGGACGGUACUGACGCUGAGACGCGAAAGCGUGGGGAGCGAACAGG